rnacentral:rRNA from 1 species
GACGAACGCUGGCGGCGUGCCUAAUACAUGCAAGUAGGACGCUGAAGAGAGGAGCUUGCUCUUCUUGGAUGAGUUGCGAACGGGUGAGUAACGCGUAGGUAACCUGCCUUGUAGCGGGGGAUAACUAUUGGAAACGAUAGCUAAUACCGCAUAACAAUGGAUGACACAUGUCAUUUAUUUGAAAGGGGCAUUUGCUCCACUACAAGAUGGACCUGCGUUGUAUUAGCUAGUAGGUGAGGUAAUGGCUCACCUAGGCGACGAUACAUAGCCGACCUGAGAGGGUGAUCGGCCACACUGGGACUGAGACACGGCCCAGACUCCUACGGGAGGCAGCAGUAGGGAAUCUUCGGCAAUGGGGGCAACCCUGACCGAGCAACGCCGCGUGAGUGAAGAAGGUUUUCGGAUCGUAAAGCUCUGUUGUAAGUCAAGAACGGGUGUGAGAGUGGAAAGUUCACACUGUGACGGUAGCUUACCAGAAAGGGACGGCUAACUACGUG